rnacentral:lncRNA from 1 species
AUCAGUACCUCAAAAUACUAACUCCAUGCAUGUUGGAACAAUUUGUUAUGAGCAUCAGGUCGAAUCAAUUAUAAGGGUACUUGGAAAAAUACCCGGCUUGAAGUGAUGUUUGAAUCCUAAUUCAAACCAACUUCAACUUAAGAAAUGAUAGCCACAUUAGCCAUGCCACCUUUCAUUUCAUGUCUUGAGCAUGCAUCAUAGUUUUGCAUUUCCGUGAAGUACUUGUUGUCCUUUCUUGUUUGCCGGUGUUGUUCCCUCUCGGUAGACGAUGGUUCCGACGAUGUGAUCGUUGAC